rnacentral:rRNA from 1 species
AAAUGACUCUCGGCAACGGAUAUCUCGGCUCUCGCAUCGAUGAAGAACGCAGCGAAAUGCGAUACUUGGUGUGAAUUGCAGAAUCCCGUGAACCAUCGAGUCUUUGAACGCAAGUUGCGCCCGAAGCCUUCGGGCCGAGGGCACGCCUGCCUGGGCGUCACG